ensembl:lncRNA
CAUACCUGAGAUAUGUGCUUUGACAAACAGGCUGUUGUGGAGACUGAGCCGGCUGUUUUCACUGGAAAGUCCAGGAAUCCCUUUGCAACCAUUUGAUGACCAGAUUCUCAGAUCGUUCUGCAUCAGGUUUUUUUUCACUGAGAAUGGAGGAUGACGUGGUUUUCAAAGUCUGACUGGAAAGAAAGGAGAGGAAGAGAGCUAGAGCACCUCCCCUAUGGAGACAGGCUGAGAGACCUGGGGCUCUUCAGGAGAGAAGGGAAGGCUGCAAGAAGACCUUACAGUGGCCUUCCAGUACCUGAAGGGGGCUGAGAAAAAAGCUGGGGAGGGACUUUUUUAUAAGGGCAUGUAGCUACAGUACGAG